rnacentral:tRNA from 1 species
UAGCUCAGUGGUAGAGAGCUUGCCUAACACGCAUGAGACUCUGGGUUCAAACCCAG